rnacentral:misc_RNA from 1 species
GAUGAAUAACGCAGCGAAAUGCGAUAAGUAAUGUGAAUUGCAGAAUUCAGUGAAUCAUCGAAUCUUUGAACGCACAUUGCGCCCCCUGGUAUUCCGGGGGGCAUGCCUGUUCGAGCGUCAUUUCACCACUCAAGCCUCGCUUGGUAUUGGGCAACGCGGUCCGCCGCGUGCCUCAAAUCGACCGGCUGGGUCUUCUGUCCCCUAAGCGUUGUGGAAACUAUUCGCUAAAGGGUGCUCGGGAGGCUACGCCGUAAAACAAACCCAUUUCUAAGGUUGACCUCGGAUCAGGUAGGGAUACCCGCUGAACUUAAGCAUAUCAAUAAGCGGAGGA